GACGAACGCUGGCGGCGUGCUUAACACAUGCAAGUCGAACGAAAAGAGGGAAAGAGCUUGCUCUUUCCGGAAUUGAGUGGCAAACGGGUGAGUAACACGUAAACAACCUGCCUUCAGGAUGGGGACAACAGACGGAAACGACUGCUAAUACCGAAUAAGUUCCAAGGGCCGCAUGGCCCAUGGAAGAAAAGGUGGCCUCUACCUGUAAGCUAUCGCCUGAAGAGGGGUUUGCGUCUGAUUAGCUGGUUGGUGGGGUAACGGCCCACCAAGGCGACGAUCAGGAGCCGGUCUGAGAGGAUGAACAGCCACACUGGAAGUGAGACACGGUCCAGACUGCUACGGGAGGCAGCAGUGGGGAAACGUCCGGAAGGGGCGGAAGCCUGACGGAGAAACGCCGCGUGAGUGAUGACGGACGUCGGGUUGGAAAACUCUGUGAUCCGGGACGAAAAGGCAGAGUGCGAAGAACAAACUGCAUUGACGGUACCGGAAAAGCAAGCCACGGCUAACUACGUG
rnacentral:rRNA from 1 species